rnacentral:rRNA from 1 species
UGCCAGCCGCCGCGGUAAUACGGAGGGUGCGAGCGUUAAUCGGAAUCACUGGGCGUAAAGCGUACGUAGGUGGCAAAGUCAGUCAGGCGUGAAAGGCCACAGCUUAACUGUGGGACUGCCUUUGAUACUGUAGUGCUUGAAUUAGGUUGAGGUCGGCGGAAUGUGACAUGUAGCGGUGAAAUGCUUAGAUAUGUCAUAGAACACCAAUUGCGAAGGCAGCUGACUAGACCUUAAUUGACGCUGAGGCACGAAAGCGUGGGGAGCGAACAGGAUUAGAUA